rfam:Ciona savignyi cont_35026, whole genome shotgun sequence.
GGUAGCAUGGCCGCGCGGUCUAAGGCGCUGGUUUAAGGCACCAGUCAUUUCGAUGGCGUGGGUUCGAAUCCCACUGCUGCCA